GCUCCCAUCGUCUAGAGGACUAGGACACAGCCCUUUCAAGGCUGAAACACGGGUUCGAACCCCGUUGGGAGUACCA
rnacentral:tRNA from 1 species